rnacentral:rRNA from 1 species
AGACGUCUACAUUAGAUACCCGCGUAGUCCCAGCCGUAAACUAUGCGCGUUAGGUGUAUCGGUGACCACGAGUCACCGAGGUGCCGAAGGGAAACCGUGAAACGUGCCGCCUGGGAAGUACGGUCGCAAGGCUGAAACUUAAAGGAAUUGGCUGGGAGCACCACAACGGGUGGAGCCUGCGGUUUAAUUGGACUCAACGCCGGGAAGCUCACCGGAUAAGACAGCGGAAUGAUUGCCGGGCUGAAGACUCUGCAUGACUAGCUG